UUUACUAGCAAUAAGCAAAGCUCCAGCAUGAUUUCUACCAUUUGAAUCUGAACUUGAUGUACAAAGUACAGUCAGUUGCUGAAAAUGCGUGAUUACUAUAAAUACUAACUCAACUAAUGUUUACCAAUUUCAUCAAAGGAUCCUGCUGAGCCUACAAACAGAAAACAUCACCUGUACAGGAAAAA